AACGUAGGAGGCGAGCGUUAUCCGGAUUUACUGGGCGUAAAGCGCGUGUAGGCGGCUCGGAAAGUUGGAUGUGAAAGCUCCUGGCUUAACUGGGAGAGGUCGUUCAAAACUACCGAGCUUGAGGAUGAGAGAGGGAGGCGGAAUUCCGGGUGUAGUGGUGAAAUGCGUAGAUAUCCGGAGGAACACCAGUGGCGAAAGCGGCCUCCUGGCUCAUAACUGACGCUCAGACGCGAAAGCUAGGGUAGCAAACGGG
rnacentral:rRNA from 1 species